GAUGAACGCUGGCGGCGUGCCUAAUACAUGCAAGUCGAGCGAACAGACGAGGAGCUUGCUCCUCUGACGUUAGCGGCGGACGGGUGAGUAACACGUGGAUAACCUACCUAUAAGACUGGGAUAACUUCGGGAAACCGGAGCUAAUACCGGAUAAUAUAUUGAACCGCAUGGUUCAAUAGUGAAAGACGGUUUUGCUGUCACUUAUAGAUGGAUCCGCGCCGCAUUAGCUAGUUGGUAAGGUAACGGCUUACCACGGCGACGGUGCGUAGCCGACCUGAGAGGGUGAUCGGCCACACUGGAACUGAGACACGGUCCAGACUCCUACGGGAGGCAGCAGUAGGGAAUCUUCCGCAAUGGGCGAAAGCCUGACGGAGCAACGCCGCGUGAGUGAUGAAGGUCUUCGGAUCGUAAAACUCUGUUAUUAGGGAAGAACAAAUGUGUAAGUAACUAUGCACGUCUUGACGGUACCUAAUCAGAAAGCCACGGCUAACUACGUG
rnacentral:rRNA from 1 species